rnacentral:rRNA from 1 species
GCCAGCAGCCAUAUCACCCUGCAACUCACAACUGGCAACCCACUGAAGCUAAGCAGGUGUGAGCCUGGUCAGUACUUGCAUGGGAGACCUCCUGGGAAAAACUAAAGUUGCAUCUG